CUUAGCUCAGUUGGUAGAGCGCUUGACUGUUAAUUAGGAUGUCGUCAGUUCGAGUCUGAC
rnacentral:tRNA from 1 species